ensembl:lncRNA
UUUUUGAUUUUGCUUACUUUAAAGGGUUCUCCUUUUGCCCCAAUUACUUGUACCUUUUCAGGGGAAACUUUACAUCCCUUAGGUAUUUGCUUAAUAGUUGAUUUCUCAGCCCCAGUGUCUACUAAAAAGGUGAACUCUUGUUUAUGGGGACCUAUUUUUAAUUUUAUCAAGGGCUCAUGAUGACUCCAGUCCCCUAAGAUAUAGAGCCCCUGACUCUCUGCUUGGGGUCCCUGGGCAUGUUGAGCAUCCCACAGUCUCAUUCCUGCUCGUCUAAUCAUAUCUCUUUCCUCGGUAGUAAAUAAUUGACCAAGGAUAGAUUGCAUCUCAUCCCAAGUAUAAAGGUUUGGUCCCAAAAAUUGAUUUAAUCUUUCUGCCACUCCCAGUGGGUCCUCAAUUAAGUUUCCCAUUUCGGUUCUUUUAAAAUCUCGUAGCUCAGCCGAGUUUAGGGGUACGGAAAUAUAUCCGAUCACAGGUUGAGGUCCCCCCAUGGGUAUUUCCCUUAGGGGGGGGUACAUCUGAGCUGCCCCUUUUUGACUUCUAGUUACGCGUUAGGAAGAGAGGGAGACCCUUGUUCCGACUCUGGUGGGGGAGUGGGCGCUCUGGGGACUUCUGCGGGAGCAGAGGAGGAAUGUAAGGAGGGGGGUUAGAAGGGUUUCGUCUAACUCUUCCUUCUUUUUCUUUUGUUUAGUUUUUAUUUCAUUCAGCGGAUAAAGUCUAGCUCUCGGUCUUCUAGCCACACUUCCGCAUAUUGACUCUCCUCCGGGUUAAGGGGUUUUUAUUAUUAACCCAGAGGUUAAUUGCUGUCUUACCCAAUCUUCUUCUGACCCAUAGACUGGGCCAAAAGACAUUUUUAGAAAUCUUCUUCCCUCCCCAUUCUUAGUACAAUAUUCUAUCAUUUUUUGCUUAUCUUUCCCUAGGGUUCCAGGGAAAUAUCUCCAAUUGUCUAAGAUAUAUGCCAGAGGGGUAUUUUUAGGUACAGUGUGUACCCUCCCCAUGGGAGUCGAAGGCUUGCUGCCCUUCGCCCCCAUCUUCUGGAUUAUCCACAAACACACACUCACUCGCUCCCCUUAUUCCUGGCCCAGUCCCUCGCGGGAGGUGGAAAACGCAGUACUAAAGGGUCCACACUCGCUUGGUUCAGUAUAUCGAACCUCUCAUUCGUUAUAAUCCAGGAUACCCAAUCCCGCCCGAACGGCGAACCCGCGAACAACUUCGCACCAAGUGGGAUGCCACAAUUGAUAUUGCCAAUGCAUUUUUCUCAAUCCCUUUGGCAGCAGAGUGCAGGCCACAUUUUGCUUUUAUUUGGAGGGGCGUCCAGUAAGCUUGGAAUUGACUGCCCCAGGGGUGGAAACACAGCCCUACUGUGAGAAACUAUGGACUAGGAUAUUGUUUAUUAAGAUUUAUGUCCUCCCCUUAACCCGGAGGAGAGUCAAUAUGCGGAAGUGUGGCUAGAAAGACCGAGAGCUAGACUUUAUCCGCUGAAUGAAAUAAAAACUAAACAAAAGAAAAAGAAGGAAGAGUUAGACGAAACCCUUCUAACCCCCCCUCCUUACAUUCCUCCUCCUGCUCCCGCAGAAGUCCCCAGAGCGCCCACUCCCCCACCAGAGUCGGAACAAGGGUCUCCCCCUCUUCCUAGACGCGUAACUAGAAGUCAAAAAGGGGCAGCUCAGAUGUACCCCCUAAGGGAAAUACCCAUGGGGGGACCUCAACCUGUGAUCGGAUAUAUUUCCGUACCCCUAAACUCGGCUGAGCUACGAGAUUUUAAAAGAACCGAAAUGGGAAACUUAAUUGAGGACCCACUGGGAGUGGCAGAAAGAUUAAAUCAAUUUUUGGGACCAAACCUUUAUACUUGGGAUGAGAUGCAAUCUAUCCUUGGUCAAUUAUUUACUACCGAGGAAAGAGAUAUGAUUAGACGAGCAGGAAUGAGACUGUGGGAUGCUCAACAUGCCCAGGGACCCCAAGCAGAGAGUCAGGGGCUCUAUAUCUUAGGGGACCGGAGUCAUCAUGAGCCCUUGAUAAAAUUAAAAAUAGGUCCCCAUAAACAAGAGUUCACCUUUUUAGUAGACACUGGGGCUGAGAAAUCAACUAUUAAGCAAAUACCUGAGGGAUGUAAAGUUUCCCCUGAAAAGGUACAAGUAAUUGGGGCAAAAGGAGAACCCUUUAAAGUAAGCAAAAUCAAAAA